UACGGAGGGUGCAAGCAUUAAUCGGAAUUAUUGGGCGUAAAGGGCGCGUAGGCGGAAGAAUAAGUCAGAUGUGAAAUUCCAGAGCUCAACUCUGGAGCUGCAUUUGAAACUGUUUUUCUAGAGGGUUGACGGAGAAAACGGAAUUCCACGUGUAGCGGUGAAAUGCGUAGAUAUGUGGAAGAACACCGGUGGCGAAGGCGGUUUUCUAGUUAAUACCUGACGCUGAGGCGCGAGAGCAAGGGGAGCAAACAGG
rnacentral:rRNA from 1 species